rnacentral:rRNA from 1 species
UACAGAGGGUGCAAGCGUUGUUCGGAAUUACUUGGCGUAAAGCGCGCGUCGGCGGAUCGCUCAGUCAGGGGUGAAAUCCCAGGGCUCAACCCUGGAACUGCCUUUGAUACUGACGAUCUGGAGAUCGGGAGAGGUUGGUGGAAUUCCGAGUGUAGAGGUGAAAUUCGUAGAUAUUCGGAGGAACACCAGAAGCGAAGGCGGCCAACUGGCCCGAUACUGACGCUGAGGCGCGAAAGCGUGGGGAGCAAACAGG